rnacentral:rRNA from 1 species
UAGGGAAUCUUCGGCAAUGGGGGGAACCCUGACCGAGCAACGCCGCGUGAGUGAAGAAGGUUUUCGGAUCGUAAAGCUCUGUUGUUAAGGAAGAACGAGUGUGAGAAUGGAAAGUUCAUGUUGUGACGGUACUUAACCAGAAAGGGACGGCUAACUACGUGCCAGCAGCCGCGGUAAUACGUAGGUCCCGAGCGUUGUCCGGAUUUAUUGGGCGUAAAGCGAGCGCAGGCGGUCAAUGAAGUCUGAUGUGAAAGCCCCCGGCUCAACCGGAGAGGGUCAUUGGAAACUGGUUGACUUGAGUGCAGAAGAGGAGAGUGGAAUUCCAUGUGUAGCGGUGAAAUGCGUAGAUAUAUGGAGGAACACCAGUGGCGAAGGCGACUCUCUGGUCUGUAACUGACGCUGAGGCUCGAAAGCGUGGGUAGCAAACAGG